CUCUGGAGCAUACUACAUGGGAGUCUUGAAAGCUCCAGAGUGUUCCAGGUGGAGCAGAAUCUGGCCUUAAAUUCCUGCACUUCUGCUUAUACUGUUAAUACUUCUAAAUGUCCAAAUACUCUUUUCUAUGUGCAUCUGCAGUGUCCCUCAAAACAAGGCCCUGAACUCGGUUCAGGCCUCCAGCCUCUGAGAUGAGCUCCUCUAGAUUUGCACAGUUUUUCUGACCACUGACUAUCCAGGAAUCAAAAAAACCCAUGGAAAAAAAAAAACCCAGAGCAGCGCAUGCAUGGGCAGCAUGCCUCCACAGUGCGGAGAACACCUGACUGUGCCACAGCUUCCAGGAUCUCUCGAAUUUAUCUAAGGUGAAUCAGCAGGGUAAAAAGCCAGAAGUGACAAGGAUACAUGAAAGGCUUGAUCUUCAGUGAUGACUUUUUGUCAUUUUAUUGAAAACAACUUUAUAUUUUUUAUUCCUCUCUGCCUUCAAAUCCUCAUUCAAAACCUUUUCCUCUACAAAGCCUUUUAAUAAUGACCUCAGUGGUAUCCCUACACCUCCAAUUCAACCCAACACACCAUGUGUUUGUUUGUGUCUGUGUGUCUGAGCUAGAUGGUAAACUUUUGGGACCUGGACUGUGACCUAAGCAAUCUUCUUACUGCUUAUUGAUUUAAUUAACUCCACAGACUUCAGUGGAGUUAUUACUCAUUUACAUUGUUUAGUAAGAGAGAAGAAUCAGGCUGAUGGCCUUGGGAUGGCAUACAAACAUUUUCAAAUAUAACAGAAUAUUAUCAGCACAUAAUGAUGUUGUGCUCUGUAGACAAUUAAGACUAACAAAGAGCAUCUAAUAUAGAAAAGGGCCAAAUAAUCCCU